rnacentral:rRNA from 1 species
AACGAACGCUGGCGGCAUGCCUAACACAUGCAAGUCGAACGAGACCUUCGGGCCUAGUGGCGCACGGGUGCGUAACGCGGGGGAACCUGCCCUUAGGUUCGGAAUAACUCCCCGAAAGGGGUGCUAAUACCGGAUAAUGUCCUCGGACCAAAGAUUUAUCGCCUUUGGAUGGGCCUGCGUUGGAUUAGCUAGUUGGUAGGGUAAAAGCCUACCAAGGCGACGAUCCAUAGCUGGUUUGAGAGGAUGAUCAGCCACACUGGGACUGAGACACGGCCCAGACUCCUACGGGAGGCAGCAGUGGGGAAUAUUGGACAGUGGGCGGAGGCCUGAUCCAGCAAUGCCGCGUGAGUGAUGAAGGCCUUAGGGUUGUAAAGCUCUUUUACCCGGGAUGAUAAUGACAGUACCGGGAGAAUAAGCUCCGGCUAACUCCGUG